rnacentral:rRNA from 1 species
UACGGGGGGGGCAAGCGUUGUUCGGAAUUACUGGGCGUAAAGGGCUCGUAGGGGGCCAACUAAGUCAGACGUGAAAUCCCUCGGCUUAACCGGGGAACUGCGUCUGAUACUGGAUGGCUUGAGUUUGGGAGAGGGAUGCGGAAUCCCAGGUGUAGCGGUGAAAUGCGUAGAUAUCUGGAGGAACACCGGUGGCGAAGGCGGCAUCCUGGACCGGCAUUGACGCUGAGGCGCGAAAGCCAGGGGAGCAAACGGG